rnacentral:rRNA from 1 species
GACGAACGCUGGCGGCGUGCUUAACACAUGCAAGUCGAACGGAAAGGCCCUGCUUGCAGGGUACUCGAGUGGCGAACGGGUGAGUAACACGUGGGUGAUCUGCCCUGCACUUCGGGAUAAGCUUGGGAAACUGGGUCUAAUACCGGAUAGGAGCCAUCUUUAGUGUGGUGGUUGGAAAGUUUUUUCGGUGUAGGAUGAGCUCGCGGCCUAUCAGCUUGUUGGUGGGGUAAUGGCCUACCAAGGCGGCGACGGGUAGCCGGCCUGAGAGGGUGUACGGCCACAUUGGGACUGAGAUACGGCCCAGACUCCUACGGGAGGCAGCAGGGGGGAAUAUUGCACAAUGGGCGCAAGCCUGAUGCAGCAACGCCGCGUGGGGGAUGAAGGCCUUCGGGUUGUAAACUCCUUUCGCUAGGGACGAAGCUUUUUGUGACGGUACCUAGAUAAGAAGCACCGGCUAACUACGUG